GAUGAACGCUGGCGGCGUGCCUAAUACAUGCAAGUCGAGCGAACGGACGGGAAGCUUGCUUCUCUGAUGUUAGCGGCGGACGGGUGAGUAGCACGUGGAUAACCUACCUAUAAGACUGGGAUAACUUCGGGAAACCGGAGCUAAUACCGGAUAAUAUUUUGAACCGCAUGGUUCAAAAGUGAAAGACGGUCUUGCUGUCACUUAUAGAUGGAUCCGCGCUGCAUUAGCUAGUUGGUAAGGUAACGGCUUACCAAGGCAACGAUGCAUAGCCGACCUGAGAGGGUGAUCGGCCACACUGGAACUGAGACACGGUCCAGACUCCUACGGGAGGCAGCAGUAGGGAAUCUUCCGCAAUGGGCGGAAGCCUGACGGAGCAACGCCGCGUGAGUGAUGAAGGUCUUCGGAUCGUAAAACUCUGUUAUUAGGGAAGAACAUAUGUGUAAGUAACUGUGCACAUCUUGACGGUACCUAAUCAGAAAGCCACGGCUAACUACGUG
rnacentral:rRNA from 1 species